rnacentral:rRNA from 1 species
GCGUGAGUGAAGAAGGCCUUCGGGUUGUAAAGCUCUUUUACCUGUGAGGAUAAUGACAGUAGCAGGAGAAUAAGCCCUGGCUAACUCUGUGCCAGCAGCCGCGGUAAUACAGAGAGGGCAAGCGUUGUCCGGAAUAACUGGGCGUAAAGGGCGCGUAGGCGGCCUAUUAAGUCGGAUGUGAAAUCCCUGGGCUCAACCUAGGAACUGCAUACGAUACUGGUAGGCUGGAGGCCAAGAGAGGAAAGCGGAAUGACGAGUGUAGAGGUGAAAUUCGU